CCCCUAGUAACUGCGAGUGAAGCGGGAAAAGCUCAAAUUUAAAAUCUGGCGGUCCUUGGCCGUCCGAGUUGUAAUCUAGAGAAGUGUUACCCGCGCUGGACCAUGUACAAGUCUCCUGGAAUGGAGCGUCAUAGAGGGUGAGAAUCCCGUCUCUGACAUGGACUACCAGGGCUUUGUGGUAUGCUCUCAAAGAGUCGAGUUGUUUGGGAAUGCAGCUCAAAAUGGGUGGUAAAUUCCAUCUAAAGCUAAAUAUUGGCGAGAGACCGAUAGCGAACAAGUACCGUAAGGGAAAGAUGAAAAGAACUUUGGAAAGAGAGUUAAACAGUACGUGAAAUUGCUGAAAGGGAAACGCUUGAAGUCAGUCGCGUCGGCUGGGGAUCAGCUUCGCAUUUGCGUGGUGUACUUCCCAGUUGACGGGUCAGCAUCAAUUUUGACCGCUGGAAAAAGGUUUGGGGAAUGUGGCAGCUUCGGCUGUGUUAUAGCCCCUUGUCACAUACAGCGGUUGGGAUUGAGGAACUCAGCAGGGAAAAAA
rnacentral:rRNA from 1 species